rnacentral:rRNA from 1 species
GUUGACCUCGGAUCAGGUAGGGAUACCCGCUGAACUUAAGCAUAUCAAUAAGCGGAGGAAAAGAAACCAACAGGGAUUGCCUUAGUAACGGCGAGUGAAGCGGCAACAGCUCAAAUUUGAAAGCUGGCUCCUUUGGAGUCCGCGUUGUAAUUUGUAGAGGAUGAUUCGGCAAGGGCUCCCGCCUAAGUCUCCUGGAACGGAGCGUCAUAGAGGGUGAGAAUCCCGUAUGCGGUGGGCUGCCUAAGCCAUGUGAAUCUCCUUCGACGAGUCGAGUUGUUUGGGAAUGCAGCUCUAAAUGGGAGGUAAAUUUCUUCUAAAGCUAAAUACCGGCCAGAGACCGAUAGCGCACAAGUAGAGUGAUCGAAAGAUGAAAAGCACUUUGGAAAGAGAGUUAAAAAGUACGUGAAAUUGUUGAAAGGGAAGCGCUUGCAGCCAGACUUGUCCGCAGUUGCUCAGCCGGUCUCCUGACCGGUGUACUCUUCUGCGGCCAGGCCAGCAUCAGUUCGGGCGGUCGGAUAAAGACCUCGGGAAUGUAGCUCCUCUCGGGGAGUGUUAUAGCCCGGGGUGGAAUGCGGCCAGCCUGGACUGAGGAUCUCGCUUCGGCUAGGAUGCUGGCGUAAUGGCUGUAAGCGGCCCGUCUUGAAACACGGACC